ensembl:lncRNA
ACAACAGCUGCUCCAACCACAACAACAGCUGCUCCAACAACAACAACUGCUGCUCCAACCACAACAACAGCUGCUCCAACCACUACAACUGCUGCUCCAACAACAACCACAGCUGCUCCAACCACAACAACAGCUGCUCCAACCACAACAACAGCUGCUCCAACCACAACAACUGCUGCUCCAACAACAACAGCUGCUCCAACCACAACAACAGCUGCUCCAACCACAACAACUGCUGCUCCAACCACAACAACAGCUGCUCCAACCACAACAACAGCUGCUCCAACCACAACAACAGCUGCUCCAACCACAACAACAGCUGCUCCAACCACAUCAGCAGCUGUUCUAACAACUACAACGGCUGCUCCAACCACUACAACUGCUGCUCCAACAACCACAGCCUCUCCAACCACUACAACUGUUGCUCCAACCACAACAGCAGCUGCUCCAACCACAACAACCUCUGCUCCAACCACAACAACUGCGGCACCAAGCACAACAACCGCUGCUCCAACCACAACAACAGCUGCUCCAACCACAACAACUGCUGCUCCAACCACAACCACAGCUGCUCCAACCACAACAACUGCUGCUCCAACAACAACAACAGCUGCUCCAACCACAACAACAGCUGCUCCAACCACAACAACUGCUGCUCCAACCACAACAACUGCUGCUCCAACCACAACAACAGCUGCUCCAACCACAACAACUGCUGCUCCAACAACAACAGCAGCUGCUCCAACCACAACAACAGCUGCUCCAAUCACAACAACAGUUGUUCCAACCACAACAACUGCUGCUCCAACCACAACAACUGCGGCGCCAACAACAACAACAGUUGCUCCAACCACUACAACAACUGCGGCACCAACCACAACCACAGCUGCUCCAACAACAACAAUGGUGGCACCAACAACCACAACAGCUGCUCCAACCACAACAACAGCAGCUGCUCCAACCACAACAACUGCUGCUCCAACUACAACAGCUGCUCCAACUACAACAACUGCGGCACCAACCACAACAACAGCAGCUCCAACAACAACAACUGCUGCUCCAACCACAACAACUGCUGCUCCAACAACAACCACAGCUGCUCCAACCACAACAACAGCUGCUCCAACCACAACAACAGCUGCUCCAACCACAACAACAGCUGCUCCAACCACAACCACAGCUGCUCCAACCACAACAACGGUGGCAACAACAACCACAACAGCUGCUCCAACCACGACAACAGCUGCUCCAACCACGACAACAGCUGCUCCAACCACAACAACAGCUGCUCCAACCACAACAACAGCUGCUCCAACCACAACAACUGCUGCUCCAACCACAACAACUGCUGCUCCAACCACAACAACUGCGGCACCAACCACAACAACUGCGGCACCAACCACAACAACUGCGGCUCCAACCACAACAACUGCCGCUCCAACCACAACAACUGCCGCUCCAACCACAACAACAGCAGCUGCUCCAGCCACAACAACAGCAGCUGCUCAAGCCACAACAACAGCCGCUCCUACAACAUCAGCAGCCGCUCCAACCACAACAACAGCAGCCGCUCCAAUUACAACAACUGCAGCCGCUCCAACCACAACAACUGUGGCACCAACCACAACAACAACCACUCCAAUCACAACUACAGUGGCAACAACAACAACAUCAGUGGCUUCUCCAACCACAACAGCAUUUUCUCCAUCCACAACAACAGCUGCUCCAACCACAACAACUGUGACACCAACCACAACAACAGCUGCUCCAACCACAACAACUGCUGCUACCACAACAUCAGCUGCUGCUCCUACAACAGCUACCCCAACCACAACAACAGCUGCUCCAACCACAACAACUGUGGCACCAACCACGACAACAGCUGCUCCAAUCACAACUACAGUGGCAACAACAACAACAGCUGCUACAACAACAACAACAACAACAGUUGCUCCAACCAUAACAACUGCUGCUACAACAACAAUAACUGCUGCUCCACCACCACCAACAGCUGCUCCAACCAUGACAACAGCCGCAACAACAACCACUAAAAUGCCUUCAACAGCUAUAACAUCCACGACGACAACAAGUCACGCAUCCUCUGUCAGAAUUAAUGUAAUCCCUCUAUUAGUGGCACUGUUUGUCUUUACCAUCUAUUAAAUGGUAAAUCAUGGAUGGAAACCCCAUAAAAACACUACAACUGUGAAAGGAUGAUUUUUUUGUUUUAUCUUACUGUUUACUUCUUCUUUUCCUGUUUAGUUGGGAUUUAAGUUCCAUUCACUUCAGAUGUAAGAAAAAGGGUCUGGGUAAACCUUAGCAUGGAUAACUAUUUAACAAACAAUUACCCUUGUGACUUAUAAAGUGUAAUAUCUAUUUAAUAUUUACCCACAAAUAUAUUUAUCUAUUUAUUAAACUCAUUAUGCAAAUGUCUUGAAAAAAUGUAAUAGUGUGCAAUAAUAGGAACAGAAAUAUACAUACAGAAAUAGACAACCAAACUAGUUACUUGGGAUUUUUGUUAUAUGUGAUUCAAUGACAGUAUUUCUUAGACUAGUAACUGUAAUUACACCAAAAAAAAGCCAAAGGAUUACAACUAUGACCGUGAUAAAGUUUUCAACAGACAUUAUGAUGGGAUUAGUUUUUUUGCUUUGGAAAUAUCCCAUUGAUGGCAAGGGGAAUAAAGAAAGCUAUGGCAGUAUAUUUGUUUUGAAUAAUGUUAUGAUUGUCCCGACUGUCACUUAUUUUCUUGAAUUUUCUCAAUCAUAUUGAUGGUAACACAUGGCCCCACUUUUAACAUUUAUAAAAUUACAGAAUAUAUUAACCAUAUGUUAUUUAGGAUGAGAUACUCUGGUUUCCCCUGAAUGUAGACUUUUACUCUCUUCAUCUUAAUAAAACUAUUAAUGCAACCAAUUGUUUUUCUACAUGAAUUACCGUACCUAUAAAAUAUUUAAAAGUUUCUUCAAUGAAGUGAUAUAUUUCACACUAUUCAACAAUAUUUCAUCAUUAAGAAAGUUAAUGUUUUUUUGCUGGCUUUUCUAACUACCAGUACAUUUCCCUCAUAGAUAUACAAAUUUUGAUAAUUGAAAAGGAAGGGGGAUGUGUUGAAUUAUAUAUUCUUUUUAAACGAAUAUAAUCUCUGUUUCUAGUUAUCAGGUUUCAGUUAUGUUGUCCUCGGAUCUUUAGUGGUUCUAACAGGCACUAACUAUUUGUUUCUUUUUAUAAAGUCGAAAGGGCUUGGAGUGGUUGAUAAGAUUGGAAAUAAGCUUCCUAAAUGCUUAUCGAUCACAUAGUAGUACAUAUCAUGUCACAAGAACCAAAAUUAAUUGUUGUAAUGGAAGUAAUAACUAAUAUGAAUUUAGGCAGGUUUGCAACCAAACAGAAAAGUCUUUCAACAUCCCAGAUAAAUAAAUAUGAAAUCACCACACUUGGAGAAUGUUCAUUUAGCUUUUUUUACUUCAGAAUUUGAAUGACUUCCCCCUUUUUAAAAUUAAGUACAUAAAACUUUAUGCAAUGUUAUGAUAUAAAUAUAUAUUUUUAAUGCUUAUUUUCUGAUUAUAUUGCCUUUUGUACUUUGUAAUAGAGGCAUAAGAAACAACUAGGUCAGAGGGUGACAGGUCGAUCUGGCAACAGACUUUAGAAAGGGGAAGUAAAGAAAGGGGAAGUUUAGUGCAGAGCUGCACAGGAAACCAGACACAAGCUGCAGAAAAUUCAAAUCUGAGCAUGUGUGUUCUGUCUCCAUUUCCAGA